GUCCUAAACGACUCUCGGCAACGGAUAUCUCGGCUCUUGCAUCGAUGAAGAACGUAGCGAAAUGCGAUACUUGGUGUGAAUUGCAGAAUCCCGUGAACCAUCGAGUCUUUGAACGCAAGUUGCGCCCGAAGCCAUUAGGCCAAGGGCACGCCUGCCUGGGUGUCACCAA
rnacentral:rRNA from 1 species